rnacentral:rRNA from 1 species
GAUGAACUCUGGCGGCGUGCCUAAUACAUGCAAGUCGAGCGAACAGAUGAGGAGCUUGCUCCUCUGACGUUAGCGGCGGACGGGUGAGUAACACGUGGAUAACCUACCUAUAAGACUGGGAUAACUUCGGGAAACCGGAGCUAAUACCGGAUAAUAUAUUGAACCGCAUGGUUCAAUAGUGAAAGACGGUUUUGCUGUCACUUAUAGAUGGAUCCGCGCCGCAUUAGCUAGUUGGUAAGGUAACGGCUUACCAAGGCGACGAUGCGUAGCCGACCUGAGAGGGUGAUCGGCCACACUGGAACUGAGACACGGUCCAGACUCCUACGGGAGGCAGCAGUAGGGAAUCUUCCGCAAUGGGCGAAAGCCUGACGGAGCAACGCCGCGUGAGUGAUGAAGGUCUUCGGAUCGUAAAACUCUGUUAUUAGGGAAGAACAAAUGUGUAAGUAACUAUGCACGUCUUGACGGUACCUAAUCAGAAAGCCACGGCUAACUACGUG